UGGCAGGCCAAUUAUUCCAAAGUCUUUUUAAGCAGGAAGAGGCUUCGAAGUUUGGGCCUUGUUUUAAAAAGCACAUGGAAUCUAAUGUGGCUUUGUUUGGCUGUUUCUGAAUUUGCCCCAGAUGAGGUCAUCCACCAGCAGGAAAGUCAAGUGCUUCAUUAAAACCCCAUCGGAUUAGCGAGAAGCCGGUCUACCUGAUGGUGGAGGUCUGCAGAGUGUCCGGAUCCUCAGUGUUUUGGCGAGUGUGCCAGCUGCGAAGGCAAUUAUCCUUCCGUGACUUCCGUACACUCGUCCG